AAGUAGUAGGAAAGGAAACUGGACCGACCUUCGGGAGCUUGUACAGGUGCUGCAUGGCUGUCGUCAGCUCGUGUCGUGAGAUGUUCGGUUAAGUCCGCUAACGAGCGCAACCCUCGCUGUGUGUUACAAGUGUCACACGGAACUGCCGGUCAUAAACCGGAGGAAGGUGGGGAUGACGUCAAGUCAGCAUGGCCUUUAUAUCCUGGGCUACACACACGCUACAAUGGGAAGGGACAAUAGGUUGCGAAGCCGCGAGGCGGAGCCAAUCCAGCAAAACUUCCCUCAGUUCAGAUUGCAGGCUGCAACUCGCCUGCAUGAAGUUGGAGUUGCUAGUAAACGCAGGUCAGCCAUACUGCGUUGAAUACGUUCCCGGGGCUU
rnacentral:rRNA from 1 species